rnacentral:rRNA from 1 species
AGCUCCAAUAGCGUAUAUUAAAGUUGUUGCAGUUAAAAAGCUCGUAGUUGGAUUUCGGAACCGGCCGAUUGGUCCGCCCUCUGGGUUGUGUACUGAUCGGUCUGUUCUUCUUCGCGAAGACCGCGUGUGCCCUUAACUGGGUGUGCGCGGGAUUCGCGACGUUUACUUUGAAAAAAUUAGAGUGUUCAAAGCAGGCAUUCGCUUGAAUAUCUCAGCAUGGAAUAAUAGAAUAGGACUUUGGUCUUAUUUUGUUGGUUUCCGAGACCGAAGUAAUGAUUAAUAGGGACAGUUGGGAGUAUUCGUAUUUCGUUGUCAGAGGUGAAAUUCUUGGAUUUCCGAAAGACGAACUACUGCGAAAGCAUUUACCAAGGAUGUUUUCA